AACAUCGAUGUGAAAAGAUGCAAAGUUGAUAAUGAUAGUGCAACAUAUUUAUGGCACUGCCAUUUAGGUCAUAUUGGUUUAAAGCGCAUGAAGAAACUCCAUGCUGAUCGGCUUUUGGAAUCACUUGAUUAUGAAUCGUUUGAUACUUGCGAACCAUGCCUCAUGGGCAAGAUGACUAAAACUCCGUUCUCCGGAACAAUGGAGCGAGCCAAUGACUUGUUGGAAAUAAUACAUACUGAUGUAUGCGGUCCUAUGAGUGUUGAGACUCGCGGCGGGUAUCGUUAUUUUCUGACCUUCAUAGAUGAUUUG
rnacentral:rRNA from 1 species